GACGAACGCUGGCGGCGUGGAUUAGGCAUGCAAGUCGAACGGUAUCAUCCUUUCGGGGGUGAGAGAGUGGCGAACUGGUGAGUAACACGUAGGUUAUCUACCCUCAAGACGGGGGACAACCCAGGGAAACUUGGGCUAAUACCGGAUGUGAGCAACUUUUAGUUGUUUGAAAGGUGGCGUAAGCUGUCGCUUGGGGAUGAGCCUGCGUCCUAUUAGUUAGUUGGUGAGGUAACGGCUCACCUAGGCAAUGAUAGGUAGGCGGCCUUAACGGGUGGUCGCCCACACUGGGAUUGAGAUACGGCCCAGACUCCUACGGGAGGCAGCAGUCGAGAAUAGUCUACAAUGGUCGGAAGACUGAUAGUGCGACGCCGCGUGAACGAUGAAUCCCUUCGGGGUGUAAAGUUCUUUUAUAUGUGAGCAGUGCUUCUAUAUUAACAGUAUGGGGAAGAGAUAUUAGCAUAUGAAUAAGCAACGGCUAACUCCGUGCCAGCCAGCCCGGGU
rnacentral:rRNA from 1 species